rnacentral:rRNA from 1 species
AGUGAACGCUAGCGGUGCGCCUAACACAUGCAAGUCGAGUGGGUUCAGACCCACGGCAGACGGCUGCGUAACACGUUGGUACCUGCCCCGAACUCAGGGAUAUCCCUCCGAAAGGAGGAGUAAUACCGGAUGCCCUCGCAAGAGGAAAGAUUUAUCGGUUCGGGAGGGGCCUGCGGCCUAUCAGCUCGUUGGUAAGGUAACGGCUUACCAAGGCUAUGACGGGUAGCUGGUCUGAGAGGACGACCAGCCAGAAUGGAACUGCGACACGGUCCAUACUCCUACGGGAGGCAGCAGUGAGGAAUCUUCCGCAAUGGGCGAAAGCCUGACGGAGCGACACCGCGUGAAGGAUGAAGAGCUUCUGCUCGUAAACUUCUGUUGUGAGGGACGAAAUUUUUGACGGUACCUCACGAGAAAGCACCGGCUAAUCCCGUGCCAGCAGCCGCGGUAAGACGGGAGGUGCAAGCGUUACUCGGAAUUACUGGGCGUAAAGCGUCCGCAGGUUUUUCGUUGCGUCG